UGCGGAGGGAUCAUUACCGAGUUCAUGCCCUUACGGGUAGACCUCCCACCCUAUGUUAUAUUACCUUUGUUGCUUUGGCGGGCCGCCCGGCUUCGGCCAGGCUACCGGCUCCAGCUGGUAAGCGCUCGCCAGAGGACCCUCAACUCUGAAUAUCAGUGUCGUCCGAGUACUAUAAAAUAGUUAAAACUUUCAACAACGGAUCUCUUGGUUCUGGCAUCGAUGAAGAACGCAGCGAAAUGCGAUAAGUAAUGUGAAUUGCAGAAUUCAGUGAAUCAUCGAAUCUUUGAACGCACAUUGCGCCCCUUGGUAUUCCGAGGGGCAUGCCUGUUCGAGCGUCAUUACAACCCUCAAGCACUGCUUGGUAUUGGGCUCCGCUGGCUCCAGCGGGCCUUAAAAUCAGUGGCGGCGCCGUUUGGGCUCUGAGCGUAGUAAAUAUCCUCGCUAUAGAGACCAGGCGGUUCUUGUCAUCAACCCCCAACUUUCUAAGUUUGACCUCGGAUCAGGUAGGGAUACCCGCUGAACUUAAGCAUAUCAUA
rnacentral:rRNA from 1 species